rnacentral:rRNA from 1 species
UACGUAGGGACCAAGCGUUGUUCGGAUUUACUGGGCGUAAAGGGCGCGUAGGCGGCGCGGUAAGUCACUUGUGAAAUCUCUGAGCUUAACUCAGAACGGCCAAGUGAUACUGCAGUGCUAGAGUGUGGAAGGGGCAAUCGGAAUUCUUGGUGUAGCGGUGAAAUGCGUAGAUAUCAAGAGGAACACCAGCGGCGAAAGGCGGGGUAGCUGGGCCAACACUGACGCUGAUGCGCGAAAGCUAGGGGAGCAAACGGG